rnacentral:misc_RNA from 1 species
UUGGUGCUGCCCUCCCUUUUCUCUCUCUGUUUGGCGCAAUGCCUUUCCCCUCCUCUCUCUAGUAUCGCUUGUUCUUUCUCCUAUGGUGGCCGGCAAUGGUGGUCUAAGGGUCCUCCCUUAGUCACCAAUGAUGAUCAAUGGGGUGAGUUUUGUGAGAUUUUAAUUUGGAUCAGAGAUUGGGUGAUAAAAUUGGAAAGAAACAGAGAGAAAAUUGAGAUUUGGGUAUGUUCAAUUUGAGAGAAAAGUGUGAAAGAG